GCUCCCGGGGCUCCUCUGGGGCUCCCGGGGCUCCCCCGGCCCGGCCCCGCUCAGCUCCGCCCGGGCUCGCCCUGCUGGGCCGCCGGGGAUGCUCCGGAGCGGAGCGGAGCGGAGUCGGUGCCAGGCACGGCUCCGUGCCGAGGAGACGCCGGGCACAGCAUCCUCCCCGCCCACGCUAGCUCCCAGAACAGAAAUGUGCUUAUUGCUUUUGUCCUAGGAAGGAACAAAAUGCAGUGGACUCGAGUGGCUUCGGGGGGGUCUUCCUCCCACGUGUGCCCCUCUGCUCCCACGUCCCGUGUCUCAGCUCAUCCCCGGACCCGCUGCCCGCGCAUUGCUACACCCCCGGCAGGACCUCAGGGUCAGCUCAGGAAACGCUCGGUGACGGAGUCAUUUACAACUGAGGUUUACAGUAGAAACGGAGAACAACAUAAAAGGUUACCAUCACAGUUAUCACAGGACAACUUGUGACUUGCUACAGGCUUGUAACAAAUCACAGUCACAACAAGAGGCACAAAUUAAAGUAGUGCUUGGUUAAAGUGCUUGAUUGUUACACUCCGCUAUCCUACUCCAGCAUUGCAACAACGACAACAAAAAGUCAACAUAAAGUGCUUCCCCCCCUACCCCGAGAUUAAAAACCAAAGACAAAUUAUUUCCUACACAAUUUGACAUAACUUUAUUGAAACAAUAAUAUUUUAAAAACCUAGGCUGGUGGCUGCUAGUUCUGUUAACUUAAAAUGGUCAGAUCUUUUUUUUUUUUUUUUUUCCCUUUCCUCUUUAUUGUCUUGUUUUGUUUUAAAAUGACUGGAUGUUAUUAAAAUGUCAGGCCUGAUUCUCCUGCCUCUCACAGCUGCUUCGUGCCACGGCCCUGCAGGAGCCUCUCCUGCCCGGCCUGCUGGCGAGAGGGAGCACAGCCAGGCCUGGGACGGGUCACUAACGAAUCCCUCUUUUUGCAUAUUUAUGUAACACUUGCAUAUCUUUCACUGCGCUGCUGGGGCGCAAAAAGCUUCGGACCAACCUGCUCCUCUCCCGGCCCUGGCGCGGCUGGGCCGCGGGGCCCGGCAGUGCCCGGCACGGGCAGGACAGC